ACACAUAGUCGGCCCGCUCGGCCUCAUCGCACGCACGUCCCCCUGCGAGCGCUUUUCUUCGCCGCCACCGGCUCCCCCCUCAUCAUCGCUGCAUCCCGACCGCAACCCUACAUGGCGCUACCGGCCGGCACGAAUCUGCGCCGCCCGCCCGACAACCUUCCUCUAGCAACCGCGCAACAUCGGAUCGAGCUAUCCUCGGGUCCCUAACCUCGAUGGUCGUCACCAUCGGGGCAGGUGGUGGACUGGCGGCGUGGACGUGGUGCCUGGCGGGGGAGGGGAGUGCCGCACUGCGAGCCUCGCUCCGGCGGGUUGCACGCUCGCCUCGCCGUUACAGGAGUGGGCAGGCAGUGGUCACCAUGGCGCGGCCUGGGUGCCCGCUGUUCUCCUUGCGCACAUGGUGCCACGGCUGGAUCCGCAGCACCACCGCCCGCCGCCCGUGUCGGCGCUCCCACAGCCACGUUCCCGUCCACCGUCGCCCGCACCCGCCUGCGCUCAUCCAUAGCGGCGUUCUUAAUGGCUUCAGUGACCACGCCGCCUCGGCUGCGACCCAGGCCUGCUUGGCCGCUGGAUGGAUGGAUACCGGCACUACAGGGCACAGACUUCAUGCUCGUGCCGACGGACUUCAUCCUUGAUGCCCUGGCUGCGACCCAUAUUGAUUGGCCACCGACUGGAAGGGGACGUCCUGCUCCUCCCGACUAAGCUUGAUCGAUGUGGGGCGGUGGUACAGCCUGGUGUUUAGCAGGACCACAUGAGCGGUGACUAGCAUCCAGUAGGAGGCAGCAAGAAGCAGCGAAAACUCUGAGCUAGCUGCUAGCAAUGCACCCCCUCCGCUCUCAUCUAAGUACAUGGAUUUGCAAUGGCCAAACUACUCUCUUGUUUCUUUCUCUAGCGUUUCCAGUUUUCACUAACAAUCCGUAUUUGGUAAACCGUGAACCAUGUUCAUGAGUAUCCGCCCACAACCUGUUUGAUGAUAUGCACAUGAAGGAUUGAGAUACACUCUAAUUUUUAGGUCAAGCUCUUACCUCUGUUUAGAAAAUCAAUAUGAAGAAACAGGUGUAUCUGGUGUAUGAUCUACACUUAGAACAAGUGUAUCUGUUGUUCCAAGCUGCCGGCAUUGACGGCCAAAGAGUCGGCGAGGGUCCACGGUUCAUUUGUUUUCGUGGGGAUUAUUCAGUACAAUGCGAUCUACACUGAAGCCAAUCCGAUCCAGGUGAAAUCGGAAGUUGGUAGAUUAUUCCGACGACGGGGCUUUUACUUGUGCGGCUCUGUAUGUAUGCUUUCAACUUGAAAAUUGCCUGAUUUUAAUAUUUUAUCAAUUAUUGCUUGAUGAAAGACCAACCAGUUCAUGCCUAACAUUUGCGUCUCUACAUUUAUGCAGUACCAUUCCAUAGCUCUCAAGGCAUCAGGUCUGCUUUAGAGACAAACUCUCGCUCGGUUUAGUUUCCAUGUUGUGUUAUAUUCCGAUGAACUAUAUUCAUUACAAACGGUAAGCUGAAGUAGAUUAAUUAAAAAGGAUAAUAAAUUUGCUCAAUCCAUGGUCAGUUGCUGAACUGACCAGGAGCUGCACUUCAAGUAGCUAACUGUUCACUAUAAAAUAGCCAUAAAUUUGUUAGUGCUUAGGGUAUACAUCCACUCCGUGUCCUGUAUCUGAAUUUUGUGAUCUGGAAAAUUUUACCGGUUAUUUCAUAGUAAAAUUAUAGAGUUGUUCUCCCUCUAUUUUGCUAAUCUGCUCACUUGCUUACAGUAAAUAAAUAAUUAAAUUAUCAGGAGUGGUGAUUUCAAGGAAAAGAAACAAACACUUUGAGGUCUCUGCUAUCGCAUCCGUACUGGCAGUACAUGGUGACAUUUGUUGGUGCUCUAUUCAGUUCAGUGGAGAUUGCUCCUUCAGUCACCAUGCGAAUCCAUGUCUAGCAUGUUUAGUCACAUUGAACUCUUCCAACUUUUCUUAAGCUAUGUUGUACAGACACACAAGUUUGCUGCUGAAUAUGAAUCAAUUUAUUGUGAUUUUUCA